rnacentral:rRNA from 1 species
GAUCCUGGCUCAGGACGAACGCUGGCGGCGUGCCUAACACAUGCAAGUCGAACGAAGAGCGAUGGAAGCUUGCUUCUAUCAAUCUUAGUGGCGAACGGGUGAGUAACGCGUAAUCAACCUGCCCUUCAGAGGGGGACAACAGUUGGAAACGACUGCUAAUACCGCAUACGGUCUAACCUCGGCAUCGAGGAUAGAUGAAAGGUGGCCUCUAUUUAUAAGCUAUCACUGAAGGAGGGGA